rnacentral:lncRNA from 1 species
UUUAACCUUAUUUUGCAGAAAAUGGAGUAAAAUGGUAAUUUGGCAAAAAUGGCCUUAAAUCUGCCCAAAAGAGAGCAAAAUUGCACAAGCCUGGUUUGCCCAAAUUGUUUGCCCAAACCAAAGUUGAAGCUGAAAUGGAAGAGGAACAAUCUGCUGUUUGACCAGACUGUUUGCCCAAAUAGACUGGGCAAACAGACCAGCAGGGCAGAAGCAGAGCACAGACAAUUGGAAAACCAGACUGUUUGCCUGAGCUGUUUGCCCAAACAACCCGGGCAAACAGCACCAGCAACCAGCAGACAGUAAAUUGCGGGAAAAUCAAAAUUCAAAUGCUCAAGAAGUGUUUUCCCUCCCAAACACGUGUGGACAGCUCAGCAAACCCUAAAGACACCUCAGCACUCAAUCCCACAUAUUCAGGAAGGCAAAUCUCAUCAAAAUACAAUUGCCUUCCAAGAAUUCAACUCCAAUUGGAAAAAGGAGUCCCAUCUCAACAAGAAAACCUAGGGCAGCCUCUUCAGCUAUAAAAGGGCAUGCAAACCAGCAGAUCAAUUAUGUUGGGAUCAUCUUGGGAUCAAGAAUACCUGCGGCAGAAGCAC